UACGUAGGGGGCAAGCGUUGUCCGGAAUCAUUGGGCGUAAAGCGCGUGUAGGCGGCCCGGUAAGUCCGCUGUGAAAGUCGGGGGCUCAACCCUCGAAUGCCGGUGGAGUACUGUCGGGCUCGAGUGCGGAAGAGGCGAGUGGAAUUCCUGGUGUAGCGGUGAAAUGCGCAGAGUAUCAAGGAGGAACACCGAUUGCGAAGGCAGACUCCGCUGGGAC
rnacentral:rRNA from 1 species